rnacentral:rRNA from 1 species
AUUGCAGGCUGCAACUCGCCUGCAUGAAGUCGGAAUUGCUAGUAAUCGCGGAUCAGCAUGCCGCGGUGAAUACGUUCCCGGGCCUUGUACACACCGCCCGUCACACCAUGAGAGUUGGGAAUACCCGAAGCCUGUGAGCUAACGAAAGAGGCAGCAGUCGAAGGUAGAAUCAAUGAUUGGGUGAAGUCGUAACAAGGUACC